UACGGAGGGUGCAAGCGUUAUCCGGAUUCACUGGGUUUAAAGGGUGCGUAGGUGGCUAUUUAAGUCAGUGGUGAAAGCCGCGGCUCAACCGUGGAAUUGCCAUUGAAACUGAAUAGCUUGAGUACAGUUGAAGUGGGCGGAAUAUGUCAUGUAGCGGUGAAAUGCUUAGAUAUGACAUAGAACACCGAUUGCGAAGGCAGCUCACUAAGCUGUAACUGACACUGAGGCACGAAAGCGUGGGUAGCGAACAGG
rnacentral:rRNA from 1 species